ACACCGCUUGCAUCAGUGUUUACAUUCUCACCACCCUGUCCCUGGCGUCCUCUCUCCUCCCCUUCCUUCCUCUAACGGCAGCACACAGCCCGCUCACACACACACACCAUCUCCGAGAGACACAGAAAAUUCAAGACUACUGGGAAGCCGAAAGGCUGGGUACUGAAUAAAACAUUACGCCCUCUAACCAAGCAGCAGCAGAUGGGGGAGUGGCAGAUUUCCAGACCAGCAAGAUUCUCCUACUGGCCAAAAGCGAUGAAAGAACAGCCGUGUAACCUGUUCCAGGCCAAAGUCAACGUGACGACUUUCACUUCCUGCUGUAUACAAGCAGAUUAUUCAGUUCGUUUCCCAUUGGGAUUUGAGAUCAUUGCAGAGCGUGUUAGCGAUAACUCCCCCGUAACUGGAGAGAAUUCACUGAGAGGCUGAACAACGUCACUGGAGAGCAAGGAACGGGAAACGUAAGUGCACGACAGCGAACAACUCCGGAACACCUGGAUUGAGUUCAAUUUAACUGUUUUCAAUGCCGCCUGUCAGCUCAGAAUUCCAUUGGUAAUUAUGAUUCUCACACAUUGUCCAGCUUUACUUGUCAGUUUUGAUCUCGGAAAACAGUCUGAUGGAAUGUGUUUCUAUAUAUUGCUCCUCACUGAGUCUCCCUAAUUACAAAAUUAAAUAAAAUUACAAAAUUGUAUAAAAUUAUUGUAGGGGUCUAUAUUUCCACUGGAGGAUCUUUUGCCCAAACUGUUUAGUUUACAAUGAGCAUGUUUCACUAGAUGGCCUUUAGCCUAAUUUUCCCAUGAUG